rnacentral:lncRNA from 1 species
AAAUUUUACAGCUUGCUCUAUAGAGUAGUGUACCUCUCCUUCCAAAGAGUGUUCUUCUUCCAGAGGAGGUGUCCAGGAUUCAUCUAUGAGUUGAAAUACUGAAUCAAAGUAGGUUAUAUAGAACUGCCAAUCAUCUGAGUUUUUCAGCAGCAGUCUUCUUGACAGCGCAUUGCACUCUGGCCACCUACACAGCUUCUUGUACAUUGCCAUACACUUGUUCUCACGGCUUUGGAGCUCGCUUGUCAACUUCUCUCCUAGUUUUCCUCUCACAACAUCUAAGGCUUCCUGGUAUUUCUCCAAACGUUCCAGAAUCAUGUAGUAAAGUUCGACUUCAGCCUCAGCUUCGAUCUUAUCCUCUUUUACCAUUUUUUCCACCAUUCUCUCAGCUAGCGGCAAAAACAUCGUCUUUGAGAGGUUUUCAUCCUGUGCUGAAAUAGACUGCAUAAUCAGGCUCAUCACGGACCAAAAAUAGUAAGGAUUUUUGGGUACGAUCUUAUAAAGUGCCAUUCCAGCCUGUUGCAUCUUCUUGUAUUCUCCAACCCUGGCAUAGGCCAUGAAGAGAUGAGAGUGAUACUCUUCACUGUUGGGGACUUUCUUUACAGCUGCCUCAUAAAGUUUAGUUACAAGUUCCGGUCUAUGCAUUUCCCGGU